ACCAAAGAGCACACGGAGGAUGUCUUGGUAGAUAAAGCUGAUGAAGGACGUAGUAGUCUGCGAUAAGCGUCGGGUAGCUGACAACAAGCGAUGAUCCGGCGAUUUCCGAAUGGGGAAACCCGCUAUGGCAAACCCAUAGCAUCCAUCACAUUUAUGUGAGGAAAGGCACCCGGGGAACUGAAACAUCUUAGUACCCGGAGGAAUAGAAAGCAGUAGCGAUUCCCUCAGUAGCGGCGAGCGAAAGGGGAACAGCCCAAACUCCUGCACCGAAUCUUGGGCGUAAGCAUAAAGCAGGCGAUUCUUUAAAAUAUAUGGAUCUGGCCUCCUAAUAAUAUGUUUUUGCUUGCGUCCGGGACUUGGUGUAGGAGGGUUAUAGGGCAGACUUAGACGUAUGUCGAGUGAGUGAUGUUGCGUUAGUGGAAGGACCUUGGAAAAGGCCACCAUAGGGGGUGAAAGUCCCGUACAUUAAAACGCAUAUUCCACUUGGAGUUUGUUCCUGAGUACGACUGGACACGUGUAAUCCAGUCGGAAGGUCCGGUGAUCGUGCCGGAAGGCUAAAUACUUUAUCUGACCGAUAGUGAACGAGUACCGUGAGGGAAAGAUGAAAAGUACCCAGAGUAUGGGAGUGAAAUAGUACCUGAAACCGUGUGCUUACAAGGAGUCGGAGCACGAUUUAUCGUGUGACGGCGUGCCUUUUGAAGAAUGAGCCAACGAGUUACUUUUUGCCGCGAGUGUAAGGGCCUUUGGUCCGUACGCGAAGCGAAAGCGAGUGUUAAUAGCGCGAUUUUUAGCGGCUGAAAGUAGACCCGAAACCGGGUGAUCUUGCCAUGAGCAGGCUGAACUCUAGAGAAAUCUAGCAGGGAGGGCCGAACCCACCAUUGUGGCAAAAAUGGGGGAUGACUUGUGGUAAGCGGUAAAAUACCAAUCGAACCCGGAGAUAGCUGGUUCUCCUCGAAAUAUAUUUAGGUAUAGCCUGGAUUCGCAUGAUGCGGGGUAGAGCACUGAAAGGUGCAUUGGGGACGAAAGUUCUCAACACCUAUCAAACUCCGAAUACGCGUCGUUAGGAAUCCAGAGUCAGACUGUGCGGGCUAAGCUGCAUGGUCAAAAGGGAAAGAGCCCAGACCUACAAAUAAGGUCCCUAAAUUCUAGCUAAGUGGAAAACGAAGUGAUAAGGCGUAGACAACUAGGAUGUUGGCUUAGAAGCAGCCAUCAUUUAAAGAAAGCGUAACAGCUCACUAGUCGAUUCUACGGUUCUCUACAACGCUUUGGCGAAAGCCUUAGUUGCGUAGAAACCCUCUAGGCCUUUUUGCGCGGAAAAUGUAACGGGGCUUAAGCUAGGUACCGAAUUUUAGGAUUCGUGCUAUACACCUUGAAUACUUACUUGGAAAAUUUUGGAAGGUAGAAAACCUGCCUGUGAGGUGCGUAAUGUAUCAGUGGCUACAGCUACUUAAAUUAAUUAUUCUUGUCGGGCUCCUAACGCUCUUCGUCAUGUGCCUUGUGGUGGGAGCGUGGAUACCUAAAGGCGACCCACACGAGCGAUGGAUAGUAAUUUUAGCUCUCCUGUGUCUAGUCGCCGUAUCUCUCAUUAUAAGGUUCUGUUGACUUUGCAUUCACUCCUAGGACGGAGCACUGUCCUGUCCUAGGCCUUCCAAAAUUUUCCAAGUCAACUAAGUAUUUAGCGUGUAUAGCACGAGUGGUAGAGGAGCGUUCGUAUUGGGGUGAAGCGGGAGCGUAAGCGACCGUGGACUGAUACGAAGUGCGAAUGUUGGCAUGAGUAACGAAAACCAGGUGAAAACCCUGGUCACCGUAUAUCUAAGGUUUCCACAGCAACGCCAAUCGACUGUGGGUUAGUCGGUCCUAAGGAGUAAGACUUCGAUGGACACACGGUUAAUAUUCCGUGACUACCAAAUAACUACCUUGAGAAGACACGGGAUAGUCUGCGAAACGCGAUUAUUGGAUUUUGCGUCCGUUGGCUUCCUGGCGAGAAAAUUCUCAAAUUAACUAUGUUUGGUAACCGUACCGUAAACCGACACAGGUGGAUGAGGCGAGUAGCCUCAGGUGGUCGAGUGAACCCUCUUUAAGGAACUCGGCAAAAAAGCGGCCGUAACUUAGGGAUAUGGCCUGCCCGCAGCAAUGCGGGCCGCAGCGAAAGAAUAUCAAGCGACUGUUUAACAAAAACUUAGGUCUCUGCUAACCCAAUGUGGGAUGUAUAGGGGCUGAUGCCUGCCCAGUGCUCGUAGGUUACGAGGAGGGCUGAUCCGCACUUCGGUGUGGUGAGGCUUGAAUUUAAGCCCGAGUGAACGGCAGCGGUAACUAUAACCGUUCUAUGGUAGCGAAAUUCCUUGUCGGGUAAGUUCCGACCCGCACGAAUGGCAUAACGACUUGAUAACUGUCUCAAAGAGGGACUCGGUGAAAUUACACUACCGGUGAAGAUGCCGGUUACUUGCAGCAAGACGGAAAGACCCCGUGGAGCUUUACUACAGCUUGACAUUGAAUCAGGGUUUGACUUGUGUAGCAUAGGUGGGAGACUUCGGUCAUCAGUGAAAUACCACCCUUGUUUCAUUUUGGUUCUAACUGGUAACAACUAAGACAGUGUCAGGCAGGUAGUUUGACUGGGGCGGUCGCCUCCUAAAAGGUAACGGAGGCGUGCAAAGGUUCGCUAGGUACGGGUGGAAAUCGUACCGAUAGGGUAUACCCAUAAGCGAGCUUGACUGUGAGGCCUACAAGCCGAGCAGGUGCGAAAGCAGGCGUAAGUGAUCCAGCCGGUUUCAGAACGAGACGGCCGGCGCUCAACGGAUAAAAGCUACCCCGGGGAUAACAGGCUGAUUGCGCCCAAUCGUCCACAGAGACGGCGCAGUUUGGCACCUCGAUGUCGGCUCAUCCUAUCCUGGGGCUGGAGAAGGUCCCAAGGGUUUGGCUGUUCGCCAAUUAAAAGGGUACGCGAGCUGGGUUCAGAACGUCGCGAGACAGUUCGGUCCUAAUCUGCUGUAAGCGUGGAAGAUUGAGGGAGGCGGCUCCUAGUAUGAGAAGACCGGAGCGGAUGAUCCUCUGGUGUAUCGGCUGUCCUGCCAAGGGCAAUGUCGAGUAGCUACGAUCAUAACUGAUAACCGCUGAAAGCAUCUAAGCGGGAAGCAGGUCCCAAGAUUAAUCUUCGUUAUGAGACCCCGAGUAGACCACUCGGUUGAUAGGCGCUACGUGUAAGGCCGGUAACGGCUUGAGCGAAGGUGUACUAAUAGGUCCAUGAAU
rnacentral:rRNA from 15 species